CAGAUCAGGAGACCGCUGGGAAA
rnacentral:siRNA from 1 species